GCCUAGUUAGCUUAGUUGGUAGCGCGUCUGCCUUGUAAGCGUUUGGCCGCGGGUUCGAUUCCCGCCCGGGGCG
rnacentral:tRNA from 1 species